rnacentral:rRNA from 1 species
GAUGAACGCUGGCGGCGUGCCUAAUACAUGCAAGUCGAGCGAACGGACGAGAAGCUUGCUUCUCUGAUGUUAGCGGCGGACGGGUGAGUAACACGUGGAUAACCUACCUAUAAGACUGGGAUAACUUCGGGAAACCGGAGCUAAUACCGGAUAAUAUUUUGAACCGCAUGGUUCAAAAGUGAAAGACGGUCUUGCUGUCACUUAUAGAUGGAUCCGCGCUGCAUUAGCUAGUUGGUAAGGUAACGGCUUACCAAGGCAACGAUGCAUAGCCGACCUGAGAGGGUGAUAGGCCACACUGGAACUGAGACACGGUCCAGACUCCUACGGGAGGCAGCAGUAGGGAAUCUUCCGCAAUGGGCGAAAGCCUGACGGAGCAACGCCGCGUGAGUGAUGAAGGUCUUCGGAUCGUAAAACUCUGUUAUUAGUGAAGAACAUAUGUGUAAGUAACUGUGCACAUCUUGACGGUACCUAAUCAGAAAGCCACGGCUAACUACGUG